UGGCGGCAGGCCUAAUACAUGCAAGUCGAGCGCGCCUUCUGGCGAGCGGCGGACGGGUUAGUAACGCGUGGGAAUGUGCCCUUCACUGCGGAAUAGCCUCUGGAAACGGAGAGUAAUACCGCAUACGCCCUUAGGGGGAAAGAUUUAUCGGUGAAGGAUCAGCCCGCGUCUGAUUAGAUAGUUGGUGGGGUAAUGGCCUACCAAAUCUACGAUCAGUAGCUGGUUUGAGAGGAUGAUCAGCAACACUGGGACUGAGACACGGCCCAGACUCCUACGGGAGGCAGCAGUAGGGAAUCUUGGACAAUGGGCGCAAGCCUGAUCCAGCCAUGCCGCGUGAGUGAAGAAGGCCUUAGGGUCGUAAAGCUCUUUCGCUAGGGAUGAUAAUGACAGUACCUAGUAAAGAAACCCCGGCUAACUCCGUGCCAGCAGCCGCGGUAAUACGGAGGGGGUUAGCGUUGUUCGGAAUUACUGGGCGUAAAGCGCGCGUAGGCGGAUUGGAAAGUUGGGGGUGAAAUCCCAGGGCUCAACCCUGGAACUGCCUUCAAAACUAACAGUCUAGAGUUCGAGAGAGGUGAGUGGAAUUCCGAGUGUAGAGGUGGAAUUCGUAGAUAUUCGGAGGAACACCAGUGGCGAAGGCGGCUCACUGGCUCGAUACUGACGCUGAGGCGCGAAAGUGUGGGGAGCAAACAGGAUUAGAUACCCUGGUAGUCCACACCGUAAACGAUGAAUGCCAGAUGUUGGACAGCAUGCUGUUCAGUGUCACACCUAACGGAUUAAGCAUUCCGCCUGGGGAGUACGGUCGCAAGAUUAAAACUCARAGGAAUUGACGGGGGCCCGCACAAGCGGUGGAGCAUGUGGCUUAAUUUGAAGCAACGCGCAGAACCUUACCAACCCUUGACAUCCUGUGUUAUAUUCAGAGAUGGAUAGUUCCCUUCGGGGACGCAGUGACAGGUGCUGCAUGGCUGUCGUCAGCUCGUGUCGUGAGAUGUUCGGUUAAGUCCGGCAACGAGCGCAACCCACAUCUUUAGUUGCCAGCAGUUCGGCUGGGCACUGCUAAAGAAACUGCCCGUGAUAAGCGGGAGGAAGGUGUGGAUGACGUCAAGUCCUCAUGGCCCUUACGGGUUGGGCUACACACGUGCUACAAUGGUGGUGACAAUGGGUUAAUCCCAAAAAGCCAUCUCAGUUCGGAUUGGGGUCUGCAACUCGACCCCAUGAAGUCGGAAUCGCUAGUAAUCGCGUAACAGCAUGACGCGGUGAAUACGUUCCCGGGCCUUGUACACACCGCCCGUCACACCAUGGGAGUUGGUUUUACCCGACGACGGUGCGCUAACCCUUACGGGAAGCAGCCGGCCACGGUAGGAUCAGCGACU
rnacentral:rRNA from 1 species